AUAUGUAUUCUUUUAAUUAUUAGCUGUAACUAUCACUCUGUAUUUAAUCUCUUUCCUGCCAGGUGAAAUCAUUUCCUCUCUGCACUUGCAAACUUAAUCCCAGGCACAUUCUUUGACGUGAGAUCUUGCUCAGUAAUGGAAAAUGCCUGCGGAAGACUGCUGGAUGAAAGAGACUUUGCCUAGCAAUGAAAUUCACUGCCCAAGUCACCUGUUUACAAGAUGUUUUGUAAGCCAAGUGGCAGAAAGAUUGAAAAUUGUCAUACAAGAAACAGAGUCCCAGAAGGAGGCUCUUCUAAUAGUCUGUUGGAGAGGUAAGUGCAUGGACCAGGAUAAGGUUUGAAAAUGUAAACUAGUUUGCUCAGAGAAC
rnacentral:lncRNA from 1 species